rfam:Picea glauca, whole genome shotgun sequence.
ACAUGCCUACAACAUAGCAUUAAUGCAUGAUAUCCCAUUAGAACUGUGUAGUUAAGCGUGCUUGGGAUAGAGUAGUACUGGGAUGGGUGACCGCCCGAGAAUUCCUAGUAUUUUACAUGCC